rnacentral:rRNA from 1 species
GGGGAGAAAAAGCUUGAGUAUAUAAUGAGGUGAACUUAAUCCACUUGCAGAACCCCAUUAGAGGGCAGGUCUGGGGCCACCAGCCGGCGGUCAUUCCAGCUCUAAUAGUCGCUAUAUUAACGUUGUCUGAUGUUAAAAAGCUCGUAAUUGAAGAUCCCGCCCUUUUGGGUCUGUCUGGGAGGCUGAUGGAUAAUGUAAAAGUUUUCUUUCAGUUGAAUAGACUUUUACUGUGAACAAAAUAGAGUGCUUAAAGCAAGCGAUAGCUUGAAUAUCUUAGCAUGGAAUAAUAGAAGAUGACUUUAUUCACUAUGCUGGCUUUUGAAUAGAGUAAUGGUUAACAGGAACAGUUGGGGGCAUUGGUAUUUAAUAAUCAGAGGUGAAAUUCUAAGAUUUAUUAAAGACAGACUAAUGCGAAGGCAUUUGCCAAGGAUGUUUUCAUUAAUCAAGAACGAAAGUAGGGGGAUCGAAGACAAUCAGAUACCGUCGUAGUCCUUACCAUAAACUAUACCCACUAGGGAUCAGCAGGGAAUACCUCUGUUGGCACCUAAUGAGAAAUCAAAGUCUUUGGGUUCAUGGGGGAGUAUGGUUGCAAAGCCUGAAACUUAAAGGAAUUGACGGAAGGAUACUAGCAUAAUGGAGCCUGCGGUUUAAUUUGAUUCCACACGGGAAAACUUUACCAUGGCAAAAUAUUGAUAUGGAUUUGACCAAAUUGAUAGCUUUUUCAUUGAUCCCAAUUACAUUGUGGUGCAUGGCCGUUCUUAGUUGGGGGGAG